CCUACGGGUGGCAGCAGUGAGGAAUAUUGGUCAAUGGGCGUAAGCCUGAACCAGCCAAGUCGCGUGAGGGAUGAAGGUUCUAUGGAUCGUAAACCUCUUUUAUAAGGGAAUAAAGUGUGGGACGUGUCCUGUUUUGUAUGUACCUUAUGAAUAAGGCUCGGCUAACUCCGUGCCAGCAGCCGCGGUAAUACGGAGGAUCCGAGCGUUAUCCGGAUUUAUUGGGUUUAAAGGGUGCGUAGGCGGCCUUUUAAGUCAGCGGUGAAAGUCUGUGGCUGAACCAUAGAAUUGCCGUUGAAACUGGGAGGCUUGAGUAUGUUUGAGGCAGGCGGAAUGCGUGGUGUAGCGGUGAAAUGCUUAGAUAUCACGCAGAACGCCGAUGGCGAAGGCAGCCUGCCAAGCCAUGACUGACGCUGAUGCACGAAAGCGUGGGGAUCAAACAGGAUUAGAUACCCCGGUAGUC
rnacentral:rRNA from 1 species